rnacentral:rRNA from 1 species
GAUGAACGCUAGCGACAGGCUUAACACAUGCAAGUCGAGGGGCAGCACAGGUAGCAAUACCGGGUGGCGACCGGCGCACGGGUGAGUAACGCGUAUGCAACUUACCUAUCAGAGGGGGAUAACCCGGCGAAAGUCGGACUAAUACCGCAUGAAGCAGGGGUCCCGCAUGGGGAUAUUUGCUAAAGAUUCAUCGCUGAUAGAUAGGCAUGCGUUCCAUUAGGCAGUUGGCGGGGUAACGGCCCACCAAACCGACGAUGGAUAGGGGUUCUGAGAGGAAGGUCCCCCACAUUGGUACUGAGACACGGACCAAACUCCUACGGGAGGCAGCAGUGAGGAAGAUUGGUCAAUGGACGAGAGGCUGAACCAGCCAAGUCGCGUGAGGGAUGAAGGUUCUAUGGAUCGUAAACCUCUUUUAUAAGGGAAUAAAGUGCGGGACGUGCCCCGUUUUGUAUGUACCUUAUGAAUAAGAAUCGGCUAACUCCGUG